UACAGAGGUCCCAAGCGUUGUUCGGAUUCAUUGGGCGUAAAGGGUGCGUAGGUGGCGCCGUAAGUCAGGUGAUGAAAUUUCGGAGCUUAACUCCGAAACUGCAUUUGAUACUGCGGUGCUUGAGGACUGGAGAGGAGACUGGAAUUUACGGUGUAGCAGUGAAGUGCGUAGAGAUCGUAAGGAAGACCAGUGGCGAAGGCGGGUCUCUGGACAGUUCCUGACACUGAGGCACGAAGGCCAGGGGAGCAAACGGGG
rnacentral:rRNA from 1 species